rnacentral:rRNA from 1 species
GGAGGAAAAGAAACCAACAGGGAUUGCCUUAGUAGCGGCGAGUGAAGCGGCAAAAGCUCAAAUUUGAAAUCUGGCACCUUCGGUGUCCGAGUUGUAAUUUGAAGAUUGUAACCUUGGGGUUGGCUCUUGUCUAUGUUUCUUGGAACAGGACGUCACAGAGGGUGAGAAUCCCGUGCGAUGAGAUGCCCAAUCCUAUGUAAGGUGCUUUCGAAGAGUCGAGUUGUUUGGGAAUGCAGCUCUAAGUGGGUGGUAAAUUCCAUCUAAAGCUAAAUAUUGGCGAGAGACCGAUAGCGAACAAGUACAGUGAUGGAAAGAUGAAAAGAACUUUGAAAAGAGAGUGAAAAAGUACGUGAAAUUGUUGAAAGGGAAGGGUUUGAGAUCAGACUCGAUAUUUUGUGAGCCUUGCCUUCGUGGCGGGGUGACCCGCAGCUUAUCGGGCCAGCAUCGGUUUGGGCGGUAGGAUAAUGGCGUAGGAAUGUGACUUUGCUUCGGUGAAGUGUUAUAGCCUGCGUUGAUGCUGCCUGCCUAGACCGAGGACUGCGAUUUUAUCAAGGAUGCUGGCAUAAUGAUCCUAAACCCCCGUCGUUGA